rnacentral:rRNA from 1 species
CAAUAGCGUAUAUUAAAGCUGUUGCGGUUAAAAAGCUCGUAGUUGGACCUUGGACCUGGACAGGCGGUCCGCCUCACGGCGAGUACUGUCUUGCUGGGUCUUUCCUCUUGGUGAUCUGUUGUUUCGGCAGCAGGGAACCAGGACCUUUACUUUGAAAAAAUUAGAGUGUUCAAAGCAGGCUCGACGCCGGAAUAUAUUAGCAUGGAAUAAUAAAAUAGGACGUGCGGUUCUAUUUUGUUGGUUUUUGGAAUCGCCGUAAUGAUUAAUAGGGACAGUCGGGGGCAUUAGUACUCACAUGCUAGAGGUGAAAUUCUUGGAUUUUGUGAAGACUAACUUCUGCGAAAGCAUUUGCCAAGGAUGUUUUCAUUAA